UACGGGGGGAGCAAGCGUUGUUCGGAUUUACUGGGCGUAAAGGGCGCGUAGGCGGUCAGCACAAGUCAGUUGUGAAAUCUCCGGGCUUAACUCGGAAAGGUCAACUGAUACUGUGCGACUAGAGUGCAGAAGGGGCAACUGGAAUUCUCGGUGUAGCGGUGAAAUGCGUAGAUAUCGAGAGGAACACCUGCGGCGAAGGCGGCCCCCUGGGCCGAACCUGACGCUGAGGCGCGAAGGCUAGGGGAGCGAACGGG
rnacentral:rRNA from 1 species